GCAGCAGGCGCGAAAACUUCACAAUGUGCGAAAGCACGAUGAGGGAAUCCCAAGUGCUUGCACGUAAGUGUAAGCUGUUUCUUUGUUUAAAACGCAUAGAGAGUAAGGGCUGGGUAGGACGGGUGCCAGCCGCCGCGGUAAUACCUGCAGCUCAAGUGGUGGCCGCUAUUAUUGGGCCUAAAACGUCCGUAGCCGGUUUAUUAAAUGCCUGGGUAAAUCGUGUAGCUUAACUAUACGAAUUCCGGGUAGACUGAUAAACUUGAGAUCGGGAGAAGUUAGAGGUACUCCUGGGGUAGAGGUGAAAUUCUGUAAUCCUAGGGGGACCACCAGUGGCGAAGGCGUCUGACUAGAACGGGUCUGACGGUGAGGGACGAAGCCCUGGGGCGCAAACCGGAUUAGAUACCCGGGUAGUCCAGGGUGUAAACGCUGCUUGCUUGAUGUUAGUCGGGCUCCGAGCCCGAUUAGUGUCGGAGAGAAGUUGUUAAGCAAGCUGCCUGGGA
rnacentral:rRNA from 1 species